GCAAUGCCAGAUCUGAGCCGCGUCUGCCACCUACACCACAGCUCACAGCAAUGCUCAAUCUUUAACCCACUGAGCGAGGCCAGGGAUUGAACCUGCCUCCUCAUGGCUGCUAGUCAGAUUCAUUUCUGCUGAGUCAUGACGGGAACUCCUUUUUUUUGCUUUUUAGGACCACACCUGUGGCAUAUGGAGUUCUUAGGCUAGGAGUUGAAUCAGAGCUACAGCUGCCUGCCUACACCACAGCUGUAGCAAUGCCAGAUCCAAGCCAUGUCUGCAACCUACACCACAGCUCUCAGCAGUACCAGAUCCUUAACCCACUGAGCAGGGCCAGUGAUAGAACCUGAAUCUUCAUGGAUGCUAGUCAGGUUCGUUUCCACUGAGCCACAAUGGGAAGUCCUAUUUUCUAACAUUUUUAAAGCAAACAGUGGAAACUUUAGAUUUUUACAGGUGUUAAAAUAGUUAACCAAGGAGCCCAUUAAACUGGAGUAGCUCUAGUGCUUUUGGUUGCCUUGUAAACCAAAACCUAAGCCAGAGCCUGUGCACUUGAAUCUAAGAAAAUAAAACUCAAGAAGAAGAAAUCUGAAUACACUAAGAGGCACACCGGGGGCAUGCACGCAGAAGAAAGGCCAUGUGAGGAUCCAGGAAGACGAUGGCUAUCGGCAUAGCAGAGACGCCUUGGAAGAAAUAAAACCUGUAGACACUCUGAUUGUGGACUUCAGCCUCUAGAACGGGGUGCCUCUGGGAAAAGCCCCUGAGAAGAUGGAAUGAAAUGAAACCAAACUCUCUGCAGUCAAGUGCUGCUCUGUUACUUCCCAGCUGUGUGUCACUGGUCAAGGUAGAAUUGCCAGAUGUAGAAUAUAAAAAUACCAGACACCAUCCUCUGCCCAUGGGAAGAGUUCUGCUUACCCUUUUUCUGACAAAGGAAUAUUAUAGAGACAAAGCUGGAAAAAACACGUCACCCUGUGAAGGAGCUUUGGUUCAGCUGCAGAGCUAAACUCUUACCUCUGUGCUAAAUUGGAAUUGGCCGUGAAUGAUUAUGAAAAUCUGCCGUUGCUGAAGGAUCUUAUUGGAAACCAAAGACAAGAACAGACAUUUCUUGGUGUCGCUAUGUCCUAGCAUGUGGUCUCUAUACUUGGGCUCCUGAAUGCUUUCCUGUGCCUUGUUAAAUGUAUUGUUUUUCUGGACCCCAUGCAAGAAAAAAAUGCUUAAAAAAAAAAAAAAAAAAAAGAUAAGCUCUGGGCAGUACCAUGACAAACUCCUGCAUAUACUUUUAACUUUUCUUCUGAACCCAUUGAAUCUGUGUAUUAAAAAUUACCAUUAUUUGUUUAAAAUUAUGUUAAAAACACUGUUCUUCUCCCUCUUGUCUAAACAUAUUUAGUCUCUUAUUUGAAUUAGCUUCAUAUCUUUGUUUCAGAAUUCGAUUUAACUUGAACUUAUACUAAACCUUUAAUCAAAU
rnacentral:lncRNA from 1 species